ensembl:lncRNA
CCCCCUCAAUAACGGCAUGGCCGGAAUCGUUUUAUUCCCCUUAUACCACAAAGAUUUUUACAUGAUAGUUACAUUUAAUGUUGUGGAAUGUAAGUGGAACAGGUUAGUUCCUAUGAACAGUUAUAAUGUAUGUAUAACAGUUAUAAAGAUUCGUUCCCUCACCAGCCGCACUUUUUCCUUUCUGGAAGGUAAUAAGGCAAACAAAUGCAGCUUGUCAUGAUAGAAAAUUACACAGAGGAUUAUUAGAAAUAUGAGUUACAUAAAUAAUACUUUAUAUUUUAAAUAUAUAUGUUUAAAAGGUUAGGGUUUAGGGCCAGGGUUAGAUAGAUAGAUAGAUAGACAGACAGACAGAUAGAUAGAUAGAUAGAUAGAUAGAUAGACAGACAGACAGACAGACAUACAGACAGAUAGAUAGAUAGAUAGAUAGAUAGAUAGACAGACAGACAUACAGACAGACAGAUAGAUAGAUAGAUAGAUAGAUAGAUAGACAGACAGACAGACAGACAUACAGACAGAUAGAAAGAUAGAUAGACAGAUAUACAGACAUAUAGACUGACAGACAUACACACAUAUAGACAGACAGACAGAUAGAUAGACAGACAGACAGACAUACAGACAUAUAGACAGACAGACAGACAGACAGACAGACAGACAGAUAUACAGAUAUAUAGAUGGAUAGAUAGACAGACAGACAGACAGACAUACAGAUAUGUAGAUAGAUAGAGAGAUAGACAGACAGAUAGACAGAUAGAUAGAUACUUUUGAUUCCCAGGGUAACUGCAGAAAUGGUACUUCUUUGUGACUUUAUUCAAAAGAAAUUGAAUGAAAUCCACCCACCAUGCAAUCUGCCCUCAUUUAUUCAAAUUUGUUUAAACGUUUCUGAACUAGG